CAGAGGCCAAGCUCAACUAGCCUGUCAAGAGGAACACAGAUUCGUGUUUGUUCUUUUGACAUAACGUCAUAAGCCUCUGAAUAAACCCUCGCUUCUUCUUCUUCAUCUUUUUUUAAGGUAUUGAGCAGCUGAGCUGACGGAGAGACCGGCAGAGAGAUAUCUUAACACGGUAGUGGUGAUUUCCUAUGGAGACUGAACAUCAGUACGAGGUCGACCUCGGGCAUCUUAUGGCUUUUGACCAUCAUCACCAUUUCCCCCCUGUCCCUUCUUCCAGGGAGGACAUGGUGGAGGAAUGUGUUAGAAAGG
rnacentral:misc_RNA from 1 species